rnacentral:rRNA from 1 species
CCUACGGGUGGCAGCAGUGAGGAAUAUUGGUCAAUGGACGAGAGUCUGAACCAGCCAAGUAGCGUGAAGGAUGACUGCCCUAUGGGUUGUAAACUUCUUUUAUAUGGGAAUAAAAUGUUCCACGUGUGGGAUUUUGUAUGUACCAUAUGAAUAAGGAUCGGCUAACUCCGGUCCAGCAGCCGCGGUAAUACGGAGGAUCCGAGCGUUAUCCGGAUUUAUUGGGUUUAAAGGGAGCGUAGGUGGAUUGUUAAGUCAGUUGUGAAAGUUUGCGGCUCAACCGUAAAAUUGCAGUUGAAACUGGCAGUCUUGAGUACAGUAGAGGUGGGCGGAAUUCGUGGUGUAGCGGUGAAAGGCUUAGAUAUCACGAAGAACUCCGAUUGCGAAGGCAGCUCACUGGACUGCAACUGACACUGAGGCUCGAAAGUGUGGGUAUCAAACAGGAUUAGAUACCCUGGUAGUC